AUUAUGGCUGCUGCCGGCGUUAUUGUCGACUCGGCUGAAAUUUACGAGCUACCCAUUUCUGAGAAAUAGACGGUUUGACUCGGCGUAAUAACAUAUUUCGCUGAGGACGUCACAUUCUUUAACAUUAGCGGUGCUUCUAAUGCGACAUCUAAACCUAAGCUUUAGACCUCAAAUCAGUCAGGACUACCCGCUGAACCUAA
rnacentral:misc_RNA from 1 species